rnacentral:rRNA from 1 species
UACGAAGGGUGCAAGCGUUACUCGGAAUUACUGGGCGUAAAGCGUGCGUAGGUGGUUUGUUAAGUCUGUUGUGAAAGCCCCGGGCUCAACCUGGGAAUGGCAUUUGUGACUGGAAGGCUAGAGUGUGUCAGAGGGGGGUAGAAUUCCACGUGUAGCAGUGAAAUGCGUAGAGAUGUGGAGGAAUACCGAUGGCGAAGGCAGCCCCCUGGGAUAACACUGACGCUCAUGCACGAAAGCGUGGGGAGCCAAACGAGGAUUAGAAACCCGUGGUAAG